AUGGUUUACGGUGCAGAGGUGGUUGUCCUAAGUGACAUCCUUCAUGAUUCGCCCCGUGUGGCGGCUUAUGUUGAAGCUGAUAAUGAAAAAGAACAUCAGGAUGCUCUGGAUAUAUUGGAUGAGGAACGUGACCUCGCGGUGGCUCGUUCGGCGAUUUAUCAGCAAGAUCUGCGUCGUUAUCAUAGCCGUCGGGUUAAAACCCGGACGUUCCAAGAAGGCGACUUGGUGCUCUGGCUCAUCCAGGAUCAAACGGAUAUGCACAAAUUGUCCCUGCCUUGGGAAGGGACUUUUGUGGUCAGCAAGAAUCUGAACAACGGGUCAUACUACCUCAUCGACAUUCGAGAAAACAAGGACUCGCGCACAUCGGAGGAGGAGACCCACCGACCGUGGAACAUUGCUCAUCUACGACCAUAUUACACUUGA
rnacentral:rRNA from 1 species